GAUUAAAUGGCCGAUAAUAGGUAAUAAACUGUAAAUUUAUUUAUAAGAAAUUUUUCUUUUUAAUCA
rnacentral:tRNA from 1 species